rnacentral:rRNA from 1 species
CCUACGGGAGGCUGCAGUGGGGAAUAUUGCGCAAUGGGCGAAAGCCUGACGCAGCGACGCCGCGUGAGGGAUGAAGGUCUUCGGAUUGUAAACCCCUGUUAGCAGGGAAGAACGGUCACUGUGCUAAUCAGUAGUGAAUUGACGGUACCUGCAAAGGAAGCACAGGCUAACUCCGUGCCAGCAGCCGCGGUAAUACGGAGGGUGCGAGCGUUAAUCGGAAUUAAUGGGCGUAAAGCGCUCGUAGGCGGUAUGUCAAGUCAAGGGUGAAAUCCCCGCGCGCAACGUGGGAACUGCCUUUGAAACUGGCAAACUAGAGUGUGUGAGAGGUUAGUGGAAUUCCAGGUGUAGGAGUGAAAUCCGUAGAUAUCUGGAGGAACAUCAGUGGCGAAGGCGACUAUCUGGCACAUAACUGACGCUGAGGAGCGAAAGCGUGGGUAGCAAACAGGAUUAGAUACCCUAGUAGUC